CUGCACUAUCUUUUGAACCUGUGAAAUGCCCCAACCAUGGCUUCAUGGGACAAGCAAGUGCAAAAUCAAUACUUGUUCAUAACUGGGGCUUCUCGGCACCCUGCCCGACCAGCUCUUUUAAAAGCAAGUUACAUUC